rnacentral:rRNA from 1 species
AACGAACGCUGGCGGCAUGCCUAACACAUGCAAGUCGAACGAGACCUUCGGGUCUAGUGGCGCACGGGUGCGUAACGCGUGGGAAUCUGCCCUUUGCUUCGGAAUAACAGUUAGAAAUGACUGCUAAUACCGGAUGAUGUCUUCGGACCAAAGAUUUAUCGGCAAAGGAUGGGCCCGCGUAGGAUUAGGUAGUUGGUGGGUAAAGGCCUACCAAGCCGACGAUCCUUAGCUGGUCUGAGAGGAUGAUCAGCCACACUGGGACUGAGACACGGCCCAGACUCCUACGGGAGGCAGCAGUGGGGAAUAUUGGACAAUGGGCGCAAGCCUGAUCCAGCAAUGCCGCGUGAGUGAUGAAGGCCUCGGUC